GUAAAGUUAGUUUAAUGUAAAAUGGUAAAUUGUGGCUUUGCAGAUAAAAAUUUUUUACUUUACU
rnacentral:tRNA from 1 species